AAAAAUAAUCAUGUAAAACUAGCAUUUAAAAUAAACAUCAAUGUAUUUGUGACAUCAAUCUUUUGCCUUGCUAUUUUUAUUUCUUUUUGUCCUUCUGGUGAGUGGUUACAACAGAAGAACGGCAUAAGAACGCCUUAGGAAGAGAAACGAGAAUUCAGCAGACCGAAUGCAUGGAGGAACUAACUUGCAGUCAAUAUAAGACAAGUUCCUGACACAAAUUAGUCCAAAGAAGGUUGGAAGUGAGGGAGGAGGCUUCUCACUCGUACGUGCUCAUCGAGUGUGAAUCAGAAAUUGUGCUCUUACGUAUCAAAGGCAGACUCGUCUAUCGACGAAUGGAAGCUUUGUUUAGUCGAGAAAAAUUGGCUGGGUAUUCAGUAUAUGUCAAAUCUGGAAUGCCAUUAUUUACAUAUCAUAUGAUACAAUGACAUAGAAAUUGCGACAUAUUGACAGCAAUGUGAAUUUCUGAAGAAAUAUUUAAAAUUCAAACAACCGCUGGGGGUAAAUAAUUUCUUGUUGUUUUAGCUGUAUAUUAUGUUAUUUCUCUUAAGUAAAAAGUCAACACUGAAGAUAGAACAGUGAAAACAUUUAUUCGCAUUUCAUUUAUCAGAACUCGAGUUAUGAGCGGGCUUUGUAUUUUUAAUGAAAAAAAGUGAACAAAUUGAACAAGUGAACAAAAUAUAAACAUACUUCAAUUGCCAAUGCUAAAGUCGAGUUAUUGUUAUGAAAAUUUCAACUAUGUGCAAUGUAUUCACCACAAAUGAAAAUCUCACAUUGAAAA